rnacentral:rRNA from 1 species
GACGAACGCUGGCGGCGUGCUUAACACAUGCAAGUCGAACGGAAAGGCCCUGCUUUUGUGGGGUGUUCGAGUGGCGAACGGGUGAGUAACACGUGAGUAACCUGCCCUUGACUUUGGGAUAACUUCAGGAAACUGGGGCUAAUACCGGAUAGGAGCUCCUGCUGCAUGGUGGGGGUUGGAAAGUUUCGGCGGUUGGGGAUGGACUCGCGGCUUAUCAGCUUGUUGGUGGGGUAGUGGCUUACCAAGGCUUUGACGGGUAGCCGGCCUGAGAGGGUGACCGGCCACAUUGGGACUGAGAUACGGCCCAGACUCCUACGGGAGGCAGCAGUGGGGAAUAUUGCACAAUGGGCGGAAGCCUGAUGCAGCAACGCCGCGUGCGGGAUGACGGCCUUCGGGUUGUAAACCGCUUUCGCCUGUGACGAAGCGUGAGUGAGGGUAAUGGGUAAAGAAGCACCGGCUAACUACGUG